UACAGACCGUCGCCAUAUAGCUGGAAUAUUGCUGAGUGUUCCGUUAAACAACAGACAACAACUCUUCAGUGGGCUAUCGAGACAAGUGGUACACUGGACCCAUGAUAUCCGGGAAUCCC